rnacentral:lncRNA from 1 species
CCUUGCCCUUUGGAAGAACUACACAUUACACUAGUUUCCUUUGAAUCUGCAUCAUGUGUCCAUAUGUUACAUAUGUAGAUAGGUAUGAAUAAAAAAGAAGAUGUGGUAUGAUUGCCAAUGAGACAACUCUCCACAAGAGACCAAAAUGACACAGAAAUUAACAAUGUAAAACAAUACCUUUAAUGUAAUUUGUUCGACUGACUUCUCCAGUUCCUCUAUCAUAUCGGUUUUCCUUGAAGGUCUUCUGUAGUAGGAACCUAUGUAAAAUUGGGUAGCUGCCUUGAACAGUCAGUAAGUGUUGCCCAGACUAUCUCACAAUCAGUUUUUAUAUUAAUCUCUGUUUUUAUGAGUUCACUUUUAGCAGCUAUGAACGCUCCACUCUCGCUCUGAAUAACAUCUAUUCUCUGCUUAUAUUCGCCACCAGUAGCUUCGGAUGCAAGAUUUGCAAUUUGCUGUAACAGUUAUUUUGUCUCCCUUUGUUUUGUGCUUUGAUUUUUAUAGUUCGUUCUUAUGUUGUACUGUUAUGCCACUGGUAUACCACGUUAGGGGGGGGAUUCCGCUUACAUGUUUAACCCCGCCACAUUAUUUAUGUAUGUGCCUGUCCCAAGUCAGGAGCCUGUAAUUCAGUGGUUGUAGUGUGUUACAUAUUUGUUUUCG